UUGUUUUUUUUUUUUUUUUGCCUCUUCAGAAUACUAGUAGCAGGACGGGAAGCCUGUUUCUCUCUUUGCUGUCAUAAGUGCUUACUCUUAGUAAAACGAGGACUCUUCGAAGCUUUGUGAGCAGUGGAGUUACAUAAGCUGACUUCCGGGUUUACAAAGGUUCCUCUGGCCACUGUGCCGAGAGCAGACCCUGGGUAAGGGGGAAGCAGGAGGGUCCAACGAAAAGGCCGUUGCCGUCUGAUAUAGCCGGCACGACUUCCUGACAAUUCUGAUGUGGUUUGUGAAAGAAAGAGAGGAGCCAAGGAUUAAUAGGUGUUUGGCCUGCACAACUGAAGGAAGGAGGUACCGUCAAUGAAGAUGGGGAAGAAUGAGGUGAAGCCAAUUUGGAGAAAGAUCAAGAGGGCAGAAGGCAAGCGGUGUAUGGCUGGAUUCUCUGUUCAGGAUUUCACAAGACUGUAAUCAAGGGGUUGGUAAGGCUGAGUUCUUGUCUGAAAGCCCUGGGGAGCAAUCCACUUCUAGUCUCAUUUAAGUUGUUGGCAGAAUUCAGUAUCUUGUGGUGGUUGGACUGAGAUCCCUGUUCCCUUGCUCGCUGUCAGGUGGGAGCCGCUUUCAGCAACGAGAGGCCACUGUCAAGUCUUUGCUCCACGGCCUUCACCUUCAGAAAUGGAAAAUUUCCCUCAUGUUGAAUUCCUUUCAUACUUCAACUUUCUGACUUCUUUUUCUGAGAUCAGCUGGAGAAAGCUAUCAUGUGAUUAGGUCAGGCCCACCUGGAUAUCUCUCACCCCCCUAUCUUAAAAAAUUUUUUUUUACAGUUUACCUGAAUUUUGUUCUAAGUAUCAAGAAACCCGAAGAGCUAUGUAUAACAAAUUAUUACUAGAAAACACAAGUAACUGUUCAAAAAAGAACAGACAAUUCGAUUAAAGUAUAAGUAGUAGCAAAUGCUUAACCAUCCUAUAUUAUUUCUGCCCUUUUCUGGAAAUAUUAUUUUAUUAAAGUAUAACUGACAUAUAACAUCAUAUUAGUUUAAGAUAUACAGCAUAAUUAUUUGAUAUUGGUGUACACUGAGAAAUGAUUAAGACAAUAAGUCUGGUUAUGAUCAUCACCAUGAAGGGUUAGAAAUUUUUUCUUUUUUUAACCUUAGGAUGAGAAUUUUCAAGAUCUACUCUCUUAGCAACUUUCAAAUAUGCAAUAAAAUAUUAUUAGCUAUAGUUACCAGGCUGUAUAUUAUAUCCCCAUGACUUAUGCUUUUUAUAACUGUGACUUUGUAGCUCUUGAUCCCCUUCACCCAUUUUACCCACCUCCUUACUCCCCCCACCCCCCUGGCAACCACCAGUCUGUUCUCUGUUAUCUAUGAGUUCUUGUUUUGUUUUGUUUUUUAGAUUCCACACGAAAGUGAAAUCAUAUGGUAUUUGUCUUUCCCUGUCUUACUUAACUUCACUUAGCAUAAUACCCUCAAGGUCUAUCCAUGUUGUUGCAAAUGACAAGAUUUCGUUCUUUUUGAUGGCUGUGUAAUAUUCCAUUGUUCAUAUAUAUACCACAUCCUCUUUAUCCAUUCACCUAUCAGUGAACACUUAGGUUGUUUCUGUAUCUUGGUUAUUGUAAAUUAUGAUGCACUAUGCAUAGUGGUGCAUCUAUCUUUUCAAAUUAGUGUUUUUGUUUUCUUCAGAUAAAUACCCGGAAGUGGGAUUGCUGAAUCAUAUGGUUGUUCUGUUUUUUUUUUUUUUUUUUUUUUUAAG